rnacentral:pre_miRNA from 1 species
GAUCUAUUCCCUCCGUCCGGAAAUACUUGUCAUCAAAAUGAAUAAAAGGGGAUGUAUCUAGAUGUAUUUUAGUUCUAGAUACAUCCUUUUUUGUUCAUUUUGAUGACAAGUAUUUUCGGACGGAGGGAGUACCUG